rnacentral:rRNA from 1 species
AUGGGAUUAGCUAUUAGGUUGUGUUACGGUCUUACCUAGGCGACGAUCCUUAGCUGGUCUGAGAGGAUGACCAGCCACACUGGAACUGAGACACGGUCCAGACUCCUACGGGAGGCAGCAGUGGGGAAUAUUGCACAAUGGGCGCAAGCCUGAUGCAGCCAUGCCGCGUGUAUGAAGAAGGCCUUCGGGUUGUAAAGUACUUUCAGCGGGGAGGAAGGGAGUAAAGUUAAUACCUUUGCUCAUUGACGUUACCCGCAGAAGAAGCACCGGCUAACUCCGUGCCAGCAGCCGCGGUAAUACGGAGGGUGCAAGCGUUAAUCGGAAUUACUGGGCGUAAAGCGCACGCAGGCGGUUUGUUAAGUCAGAUGUGAAAUCCCCGGGCUCAACCUGGGAACUGCAUCUGAUACUGGCAAGCUUGAGUCUCGUAGAGGGGGGUAGAAUUCCAGGUGUAGCGGUGAAAUGCGUAGAGAUCUGGAGGAAUACCGGUGGCGAAGUCGGCCCACUGG